GGUAGUCCACGCCGUAAACGAUGGGCACUAGGUGUGGGGGGUGUCGACUCCCUCCGUGCCGAAGCUAACGCAUUAAGUGCCCCGCCUGGGGAGUACGGCCGCAAGGCUAAAACUCAAAGGAAUUGACGGGGCCCGCACAAGCAGCGGAGCAUGUGGUUUAAUUCGACGCAACGCGAAGAACCUUACCUGGGCUUGACAUGUGGGUGACCGGCCUGGAAACAGGCCUUCCCUUCGGGGGCACCUUCACAGGUGGUGCAUGGCUGUCGUCAGCUCGUGUCGUGAGAUGUUGGGUUAAG
rnacentral:rRNA from 1 species